rnacentral:rRNA from 1 species
GAUGAACGCUGGCGGCGUGCUUAACACAUGCAAGUCGAACGAAGCACUUUUGACAGAUUCUUCGGAUGAUGGAUUUAGUGACUGAGUGGCGGACGGGUGAGUAACGCGUGGGUAACCUGCCUCAUACAGGGGGAUAACAGUUAGAAAUGACUGCUAAUACCGCAUAAGCGCACAGUACCGCAUGGUACCGUGUGAAAAAACUCCGGUGGUAUGAGAUGGACCCGCGUCUGAUUAGCUAGUUGGAAGGGUAACGGCCUACCAAGGCGACGAUCAGUAGCCGGCCUGAGAGGGUGAACGGCCACAUUGGGACUGAGACACGGCCCAAACUCCUACGGGAGGCAGCAGUGGGGGAUAUUGCACAAUGGAGGAAACUCUGAUGCAGCAACGCCGCGUGAGGGAAGAAGGUUUUCGGAUUGUAAACCUCUGUUUUUAGUGAAGAAACAAAUGACGGUAGCUAAAGAGGAAGCCACGGCUAACUACGUG